CCCGUAGCACGCAGGGAGGAAGUGGGCCUGCCCAGGCCCUCACCAUCUGCACCGGCCACACUGUUUCAAUGCAGCCUACAGCUCAAACGUGCCUUCGGGUCUGGGAACUGUGCUGACAUUUGCCAUCUCGUUGGACCCUCACAAGCCCUGCUAAGGCACAUACACAAGAACAAAUCCCAUUAAUGGAUGAGAAAGUGAGGCUGAGAAGAAUAAAAGGUGUGGGGCCUGAUGUUAAGGCUGCUCCCCAUGUUCCCAUCUCCUCCCGGAAGACCAUCCACUGGCAUCCUUCUUAUG